rnacentral:lncRNA from 1 species
AUCGCCGACAAUAUCCGUUACGGCCGUGUCACAGCUGGGAAUGAUGAGGUGGAGGCUGCUGCUCAGGCUGCAGGCAUCCAUGAUGCCAUUAUGGCUUUCCCUGAAGGUGAGAGAUUCCUUUGCAGAGAGUCCCCUCCCCUCCUGGUGUUGUCCUGCUAAUCCCUGACCCCUGUUCCCUCCGUUUCGUAAGAAACGUGUGGUGGGUAAUAUCCACAGGGUACAGGACACAGGUGGGCGAGCGGGGACUGAAGCUGAGCGGCGGGGAGAAGCAGCGCGUCGCCAUUGCCCGCACCAUCCUCAAGGCUCCGGGCAUCAUUCUGCUGGAUGAGGCAACGUCAGCGCUGGAUACAUCUAAUGAGAGGGCCAUCCAGGCUUCUCUGGCCAAAGUCUGUGCCAACCGCACCACCAUCGUAGUGGCACACAGGCUCUCAACUGUGGUCAAUGCUGACCAGAUCCUCGUCAUCAAGGAUGGCUGCAUCGUGGAGAGGGGACGACACGAGGCUCUGUUGUCCCGAGGUGGGGUGUAUGCUGACAUGUGGCAGCUGCAGCAGGGACAGGAAGAAACCUCUGAAGACACUAAGCCUCAGACCAUGGAACGGUGACAAAAGUUUGGCCACUUCCCUCUCAAAGACUAACCCAGAAGGGAAUAAGAUGUGUCUCCUUUCCCUGGCUUAUUUCAUCCUGGUCUUGGGGUAUGGUGCUAGCUAUGGUAAGGGAAAGGGACCUUUCCGAAAAACAUCUUUUGGGGAAAUAAAAAUGUGGACUGUG